rnacentral:rRNA from 1 species
UAGGGAAUCUUCCGCAAUGGACGCAAGUCUGACGGAGCAACGCCGCGUGAGUGAAGAAGGAUUUCGGUUCGUAAAACUCUGUUGUUAAGGAAGAACGAGUGUGAGAAUGGAAAGUUCAUGCUGUGACGGUACUUAACCAGAAAGGGACGGCUAACUACGUGCCAGCAGCCGCGGUAAUACGUAGGUCCCGAGCGUUGUCCGGAUUUAUUGGGCGUAAAGCGAGCGCAGGCGGUUAGAAAAGUCUGAAGUGAAAGGCAGUGGCUCAACCAUUGUAGGCUUUGGAAACUGUUUAACUUGAGUGCAGAAGGGGAGAGUGGAAUUCCAUGUGUAGCGGUGAAAUGCGUAGAUAUAUGGAGGAACACCGGUGGCGAAAGCGGCUCUCUGGUCUGUAACUGACGCUGAGGCUCGAAAGCGUGGGGAGCGAACAGG